CUAUACAUGCAAGUCGAACGCUUUGUGGUUCAACUGAUUUGAAGAGCUUGCUCAGAUAUGACGAUGGACAUUGCAAAGAGUGGCGAACGGGUGAGUAACACGUGGGAAACCUACCUCUUAGCAGGGGAUAACAUUUGGAAACAGAUGCUAAUACCGUAUAACAAUGACAACCGCAUGGUUGUUAUUUAAAAGAUGGUUCUGCUAUCACUAAGAGAUGGUCCCGCGGUGCAUUAGCUAGUUGGUAAGGUAAUGGCUUACCAAGGCGAUGAUGCAUAGCCGAGUUGAGAGACUGAUCGGCCACAAUGGGACUGAGACACGGCCCAUACUCCUACGGGAGGCAGCAGUAGGGAAUCUUCCACAAUGGGCGAAAGCCUGAUGGAGCAACGCCGCGUGUGUGAUGAAGGGUUUCGGCUCGUAAAACACUGUUGUAAGAGAAGAAUGACAUUGAGAGUAACUGUUCAAUGUGUGACGGUAUCUUACCAGAAAGGAACGGCUAAAUACGUGCCAGCAGCCGCGGUAAUACGUAUGUUCCAAGCGUUAUCCGGAUUUAUUGGGCGUAAAGCGAGCGCAGACGGUUAUUUAAGUCUGAAGUGAAAGCCCUCAGCUCAACUGAGGAAUUGCUUUGGAAACUGGAUGACUUGAGUGCAGUAGAGGAAAGUGGAACUCCAUGUGUAGCGGUGAAAUGCGUAGAUAUAUGGAAGAACACCAGUGGCGAAGGCGGCUUUCUGGACUGUAACUGACGUUGAGGCUCGAAAGUGUGGGUAGCAAACAGGAUUAGAUACCCUGGUAGUCCACACCGUAAACGAUGAGUGCUAGGUGUUUGAGGGUUUCCGCCCUUAAGUGCCGCAGCUAACGCAUUAAGCACUCCGCCUGGGGAGUACGACCGCAAGGUUGAAACUCAAAGGAAUUGACGGGGACCCGCACAAGCGGUGGAGCAUGUGGUUUAAUUCGAAGCAACGCGAAGAACCUUACCAGGUCUUGACAUCCCUUGACAACUCCAGAGAUGGAGCGUUCCCUUCGGGGACAAGGUGACAGGUGGUGCAUGGUUGUCGUCAGCUCGUGUCGUGAGAUGUUGGGUUAAGUCCCGCAACGAGCGCAACCCUUAUUACUAGUUGCCAGCAUUCAGUUGGGCACUCUAGUGAGACUGCCGGUGACAAACCGGAGGAAGGUGGGGAUGACGUCAAAUCAUCAUGCCCCUUAUGACCUGGGCUACACACGUGCUACAAUGGCGUAUACAACGAGUUGCCAACCCGCGAGGGUGAGCUAAUCUCUUAAAGUACGUCUCAGUUCGGAUUGUAGGCUGCAACUCGCCUACAUGAAGUCGGAAUCGCUAGUAAUCGCGGAUCAGCACGCCGCGGUGAAUACGUUCCCGGGUCUUGUACACACCGCCCGUCACACCAUGAGAGUUUGUAACACCCAAAGCCGGUGGGGUAACCUUCGGGAGCCAGCCG
rnacentral:rRNA from 1 species